rnacentral:rRNA from 1 species
AACGAACGCUGGCGGCAUGCCUAACACAUGCAAGUCGAACGAGACCUUCGGUUCUAGUGGCGCACGGGUGCGUAACGCGUGGGAAUCUGCCCUUGGGAGCGGAAUAACAGUUAGAAAUGACUGCUAAUACCGCAUAAUGACUCCGGUCCAAAGAUUUAUCGCCCAGGGAUGAGCCCGCGUCGGAUUAGCUAGUUGGUAGGGUAAAAGCCUACCAAGGCAACGAGCCGUAGCUGGUCUGAGAGGAUGAUCAGCCACACUGGGACUGAGACACGGCCCAGACUCCUACGGGAGGCAGCAGUGGGGAAUAUUGGACAAUGGGCGAAAGCCUGAUCCAGCAAUGCCGCGUGAGUGAUGAAGGCCUUAGGGUUGUAAAGCUCUUUUACCCGGGAUGAUAAUGACAGUAACGGGAGAAUAAGCCCCGGCUAACUCCGUGCCAGCAGCCGCCGUAACAC